CCUACGGGAGGCAGCAGUAGGGAAUCUUGCACAAUGGAGGAAACUCUGAUGCAGCGAUGCCGCGUGAGUGAAGAAGGCCUUUGGGUUGUAAAGCUCUUUCGUCGGGGAAGAAAAUGACUGUACCCGAAUAAGAAGGUCCGGCUAACUUCGUGCCAGCAGCCGCGGUAAUACGAAGGGACCUAGCGUAGUUCGGAAUUACUGGGCUUAAAGAGUUCGUAGGUGGUUAAAAAAGUUGGUGGUGAAAUCCCAGAGCUUAACUCUGGAACUGCCAUCAAAACUUUUUAGCUAGAGUAUGAUAGAGGAAAGCAGAAUUUCUAGUGUAGAGGUGAAAUUCGUAGAUAUUAGAAAGAAUACCGAUUGCGAAGGCAGCUUUCUGGAUCAUUACUGACACUGAGGAACGAAAGCAUGGGUAGCGAAGAGGAUUAGAUACCCUCGUAGUCCAUGCCGUAAACGAUGUGUGUUAGAUGUUGGAAAUUUAUUUUCAGUAUCGCAGUGAAAACGUUAAACACACCGCCUGGGGAGUACGACCGCAAGGUUAAAACUCAAAUGAAUUGACGG
rnacentral:rRNA from 1 species